AACCUGUUCCAGUGCCUGAUCACCCUCACAGGGAAGAAUUUCUUCCUGAUAUUCAGUCUAAACUUACUCUCAGUUUGAAGCUGUUCCCUCUUGUCCCAUCACUUCCCACCUUUGUCCAAAGUCCCUCUGCAGCUCUCUUGUAGACCUUUAGGCACUGGAAGGGGCUGUAAGGUCUCCUGGAGCCUUCUCUUCUCCAGCUGAACACCCCCAGCUCUCCCAGCCAGUCUCCACAGCAGAGGGACUCCAGCCCUCUCAGCAUCUUCAUGGCCACCUCUGGAUUCGCUCCAGUAGGUCCACUUUGGAAAAGUUCAAAAUGCUGGGCGUGGGUUUUGAAGUUUUGCAGCCUGAGAUUUGCUUGAACUGUGAGGUUGGCAGUUUUUUCCUAGUGAUGAUUAGACGGAUAGAAGCAUUCUGCAGAGGAUUAGUCAAUAGUGGCGUGUUCCUAGAAGAUAUUUAAUCGUUUAUACUUGCUUCAGCCAAGCACAAAGAAAGGUCUAAUAUUUACCAUCUGGAGAGAAAGGAACAAUUAUAAAGUAACUCACUAAACUUUCACAAAAGCUUAGAAAUUUAACAAAAUAGGUGCGUGGGACUUCUCAACUAAAACUGGUCAGAGAUAUACAUUAACAAUUUGAGGCAUGCAAAGCAUUUCAGGAAAAACAGUUCAAGCAUAUAUUUUACAGGGAUUUUUGGAGUGAAGCUUUGACCUUUUGGAUUUUUUUUAAUUCUCUCUCUUGCUGUGUUUUGCUUUUCUUGCCUUUUUACGUUCUGAUGAGAAGUUCUGGAGCAGCAGCUGCUCUUCGUGGUGUGUUUCUGUUGAAGUUCAAGGGGCUCAGAGGUACUUGGAACUGGUGGCUGUGUCUGGGUAUAAUUCUGGUGUGUCAGUGCUGGGUUAGUGGUUGGACUCGAUCUUAGAGGUCUUUUCCAACCUUUGUGAGUCUGUGAGAAGCUGUAGUGGAUGUUUGGGAGUGAGGUGGUGCAGUGAUGAGGAACCCAGGACCAUAACUGCAUGGACAGAUUGUCUCCUGGCAACCCUUGUGAUUCUGUGA